rnacentral:rRNA from 1 species
AUACGGAGGGUGCAAGCGUUGCGCGGAAUCACUGGGCGUAAAGCGCGCGCAGGCGGGCUGAUAAGUUGGAUGUGAAAGCCUACGGCUCAACCGUAGAACUGCAUCCAAAACUGUCAGUCUAGAGUGUGGGAGAGGAAGAUGGAAUUAGUUGUGUAGGGGUAAAAUCCGUAGAGAUAACUAGGAAUACCAAAAGCGAAGGCAAUCUUCUGGAACACUACUGACGCUGAGGCGCGAAGGCGUGGGGAGCAAACAGGAUUAGAAACCCGGGUAGUCC